UCGCCUACGGGAGGCAGCAGUGGGGAAUAUUGGGCAAUGGGCGCAAGCCUGACCCAGCAACGCCGCGUGAAGGAAGAAGGCUUUCGGGUUGUAAACUUCUUUUCUGAGGGACGAAGAAAGUGACGGUACCUCAGGAAUAAGCCACGGCUAACUACGUGCCAGCAGCCGCGGUAAUACGUAGGUGGCAAGCGUUAUCCGGAUUUAUUGGGUGUAAAGGGCGUGUAGGCGGGAAAGCAAGUCAGAUGUGAAAACUCAGGGCUCAACCCUGAGCCUGCAUUUGAAACUGUUUUUCUU
rnacentral:rRNA from 1 species